ACAUACGACCAUAGGGUGUGGAAAACAGGGCUUCCCGUCCGCUCAGCCGUACUUAAGCCACACGCCGGUGAGUUAGUAGUUGGGUGGGUGACCACCAGCGAAUCCUCACUGUUGUAUGUA
rfam:Penicillium expansum strain MD-8 contig294, whole genome shotgun sequence.